AGUGAACGCUGGCGGUAGGCCUAACACAUGCAAGUCGAACGGCAGCACAGUAAGAGCUUGCUCUUACGGGUGGCGAGUGGCGGACGGGUGAGGAAUACAUCGGAAUCUACUUUUUCGUGGGGGAUAACGUAGGGAAACUUACGCUAAUACCGCAUACGACCUACGGGUGAAAGCAGGGGAUCUUCGGACCUUGCGCGAUUGAAUGAGCCGAUGUCGGAUUAGCUAGUUGGCGGGGUAAAGGCCCACCAAGGCGACGAUCCGUAGCUGGUCUGAGAGGAUGAUCAGCAAAACUGAAAGUGAGACACGGUCCAGACUCCUAGGGAAGGCAGAAGGGGGGAAAAUUGGAAAAUGGGGGCAGCCUGAUCCAGCCAUACCGCGUGGGUGAAGAAGGCCUUCGGGUUGUAAAGCCCUUUUGUUGGGAAAGAAAAGCAGCAGGUUAAUACCCCGCUGUUCUGACGGUACCCAAAGAAUAAGCACCGGCUAACUUCGUG
rnacentral:rRNA from 1 species